GUAGUCUGCAACUCGACUACAUGAAGCUGGAAUCGCUAGUAAUCGCGGAUCAGAAUGCCGCGGUGAAUACGUUCCCGGGUCUUGUACACACCGCCCGUCACACCAUGGGAGUCAGUAACGCCCGAAGCCGGUGACCCAACCUAUUCUGGGAGGGAGCCGUCGAAGGCGGGACGGAUGACUGGGGGUGAAGUCGUAACAAGGUACC
rnacentral:rRNA from 1 species